UGGGGAAUAUUGGACAAUGGGCGCAAGCCUGAUCCAGCCAUGCCGCGUGUGUGAAGAAGGCCUUUUGGUUGUAAAGCACUUUAAGCGAGGAGGAGGCUACUUGGAUUAAUACUCUAGGAUAGUGGACGUUACUCGCAGAAUAAGCACCGGCUAACUCUGUGCCAGCAGCCGCGGUAAUACAGAGGGUGCGAGCGUUAAUCGGAUUUACUGGGCGUAAAGCGUGCGUAGGCGGCUUUUUAAGUCGGAUGUGAAAUCCCUGAGCUUAACUUAGGAAUUGCAUUCGAUACUGGUAGCUAGAGUAUGGGAGAGGAUGGUAGAAUUCCAGGUGUAGCGGUGAAAUGCGUAGAGAUCUGGAGGAAUACCGAUGGCGAAGGCAGCCAUCUGGCCUAAUACUGACGCUGAGGUACGAAAGCAUGGGGAGCAAACAGG
rnacentral:rRNA from 1 species